rnacentral:rRNA from 1 species
UACGUAGGGUGCGAGCGUUGUCCGGAAUUAUUGGGCGUAAAGGGCUCGUAGGCGGUCUGUCACGUCGGGAGUGAAAACACGGGGCUUAACCCCGUGCCUGCUUCCGAUACGGGCAGACUAGAGGUAUGCAGGGGAGAACGGAAUUCCUGGUGUAGCGGUGAAAUGCGCAGAUAUCAGGAGGAACGCCGGUGGCGAAGGCGGUUCUCUGGGCAGUAACUGACGCUGAGGAGCGAAAGCGUGGGGAGCGAACAGG